UGAGAGCGGCGGACGGGUGAGUAAUACCUAGGAAUCUGCCUGAUAGUGGGGGACAACGUUCGGAAACGGACGCUAAUACCGCAUACGUCCUACGGGAGAAAGCAGGGGACCUUCGGGCCUUGCGCUAUCAGAUGAGCCUAGGUCGGAUUAGCUAGUUGGUGAGGUAAUGGCUCACCAGGCUACGAUCCGUAACUGGUCUGAGAGGAUGAUCAGUCACACUGGAACUGAGACACGGUCCAGACUCCUACGGGAGGCAGCAGUGGGGAAUAUUGGACAAUGGGCGAAAGCCUGAUCCAGCCAUGCCGCGUGUGUGAAGAAGGUCUUCGGAUUGUAAAGCACUUUAAGUUGGGAGGAAGGGCAUUAACCUAAUACGUGGGUGUCUUGACGUUACCGACAGAAUAAGCACCGGCUAACUCUGUGCCAGCAGCCGCGGUAAUACAGAGGGUGCAAGCGUUAAUCGGAAUUACUGGGCGUAAAGCGCGCGUAGGUGGUUUGUUAAGUUGAAUGUGAAAUCCCCGGGCUCAACCUGGGAACUGCAUCCAAAACUGGCAAGCUAGAGUAUGGUAGAGGGUAGUGGAAUUUCCUGUGUAGCGGUGAAAUGCGUAGAUAUAGGAAGGAACACCAGUGGCGAAGGCGACUACCUGGACUGAUACUGACACUGAGGUGCGAAAGCGUGGGGAGCAAACAGGAUUAGAUACCCUGGUAGUCCACGCCGUAAACGAUGUCAACUAGCCGUUGGGAGUCUUGAACUCUUAGUGGCGCAGCUAACGCAUUAAGUUGACCGCCUGGGGAGUCGGCCGCAAGGUUAAAAC
rnacentral:rRNA from 1 species